rnacentral:rRNA from 1 species
GAUGAACGCUGGCGGCGUGCCUAAUACAUGCAAGUCGAGCGAACAGAUGAGGAGCUUGCUCCUCUGACGUUAGCGGCGGACGGGUGAGUAACACGUGGAUAACCUACCUAUAAGACUGGGAUAACUUCGGGAAACCGGAGCUAAUACCGGAUAAUAUAUUGAACCGCAUGGUUCAAUAGUGAAAGACGGUUGUGCUGUCACUUAUAGAUGGAUCCGCGCCGCAUUAGCUAGUUGGUAAGGUAACGGCUUACCAAGGCAACGAUGCGUAGCCGACCGGAGAGGGGGAUCGGCCACAUUGGAACUGAGACACGGUCCAGACUCCUACGGGAGGCAGCAGUAGGGAAUCGGACGCAAUGGGCGAAAGCCUGACGGAGCAACGCCGAGUGAGUGAUGAAGGUCUUCGGAUCGUAAAACUCUGUUAUUAGGGAAGAACCAAUGUGUAAGUAACUAUGCACGUCUUGACGGUACCUAAUCAGAAAGCCACGGCUAACUACGUG